AAUAAAUUUAAUAAGUCAUCCAUAUAAUCUCAAUAAUAAGGAUUGAGAGUUUCUACGAGAAAACCGUAAAUUUUCUGUCUAUGGAUAAUCUUUU
rnacentral:ncRNA from 1 species